rnacentral:lncRNA from 1 species
GCGCAACUGGAGGUCAAACUAAGCUGGUCUGGAGUGAUAAAAGAAAAUUUCCAUAUCAGGCAAUGUAAUCUAUCACUGAAGAAUAGAACGAAGAUUUAUAUUAUACGACCCUGUGACCAUAGGCACUGUUAAUUUCAGAAAAUUGAAUUAAUUGCAUGUGACUAUAAUUUGAAAUUUUGGUGCUAUAUAGGUCACAACUGAAGUGAAGUAACAACACCUGAAAAGAAUUAUAGUUCUUACCAUUCUUUAGAUCAUUAUGUAGAACUGGACAUAAUAUCUUUAUCCAUCUAUCUCCGCA